rnacentral:rRNA from 1 species
GACGAACGCUGGCGGCGUGCUUAACACAUGCGAGUCGUACGGUAAGGCCCUUUCGGGGGUCCACGAGUGGCGAACGGGUGAGUAACACGUGAGUAACCUGCCCACAACUUUGGGAUAACGCUAGGAAACUGGUGCUAAUACUGGAUAUGUGCUCCUGCUGCAUGGUGGGGGUUGGAAAGCUCCGGCGGUUGUGGAUGGACUCGCGGCCUAUCAGCUUGUUGGUGGGGUAGUGGCCUACCAAGGCGGCGACGGGUAGCCGGCCUGAGAGGGUGACCGGCCACAUUGGGACUGAGAUACGGCCCAGACGCCUACGGGAGGCAGCAGUGGGGAAUAUUGCACAAUGGGCGCAAGCCUGAUGCAGCAACGCCGCGUGCGGGAUGACGGCCUUCGGGUUGUAAACCGCUUUCAGCAGGGACGAAGCUUUUUGUGACGGUACCUGCAGAAGAAGCACCGGCUAACUACGUG